rnacentral:rRNA from 1 species
UACGGGAGGCAGCAGUGGGGAAUAUUGCACAAUGGGCGCAAGCCUGAUGCAGCCAUGCCGCGUGUAUGAAGAAGGCCUUCGGGUUGUAAAGUACUUUCAGUCGUGAGGAAGGUGUUAAGGUUAAUAACCUUAGCAAUUGACGUUAGCGACAGAAGAAGCACCGGCUAACUCCGUGCCAGCAGCCGCGGUAAUACGGAGGGUGCGAGCGUUAAUCGGAAUUACUGGGCGUAAAGGGCACGCAGGCGGUUAAUAAGUUGGAUGUGAAUCCCCGGGCUUAACCUGGGAAUGGCAUUCAAGACUGGUUAGCUAGAGUCUUGUAGAGGGGGUAGAAUUCCAUGUGUAGCGGUGAAAUGCGUAGAGAUGUGGAGGAAUACCGGUGGCGAAGGCGGCCCCUGGGACAAAGACUGACGCUCAUGUGCGAAAGCGUGGGGAGCAAACAGGGAUUUAGAUACC